GACGAACGCUGGCGGCGUGCUUAACACAUGCAAGUCGAACGGAAAGGCCCUGCUUGCAGGGUACUCGAGUUGCGAACGGGUGAGUAACACGUGGGUGAUCUGCCCUGCACUUCGGGAUAAGCCUGGGAAACUGGGUCUAAUACCGGACAGGUGCCAUUUUUAGUGUGAUGGUUGGAAAGUUUUUUCGGUGUAGGAUGAGCUCGCGGCCUAUCAGCGUGUUGGUGGGGUAAUGGCCUACCAAGGCGGCGACGGAUAGCCGACCUGCGAGGGUGGACGGCCACACGGGAACUGAGACACGGUACAGACGCCGACGGGAGGCAGAGGUAGGGAAGGGGCGGCAAAGGGGGAAAGCGUGAAGGAGCGGCGCAGCGGGGGUGAUGAAGGGUCUCGGAGUGGAUAACGAGGUUAGGGUGGAAGAACAGAUGAGUAAGUAAAGGUGCUUAUUGUGACGGUACCUAGGCAGAAAGGUACGGCUAACUACGUG
rnacentral:rRNA from 1 species